GGAGUUUGGACCGUGUCUCAGUUCCAAUGUGGGGGACCUUCCUCUCAGAACCCCUACUGAUCGUCGGCCAGGUGGGCCGUUACCCCGCCUGCAACCUAAUCAGACGCAUCCCCAUCCCAUAGCGAUGAAUCUUUCGUCCAGGUCAGAUGUCCUCUCUGGACAACAUAGGGAAUUAAUCCGAUUUUCACCGGGCUAUGCCCUACUGGGGGGAAGGUUGGAUACGCGUUACUCACCCGUGCGCCGGUCGCCAUCAGGGUUUGCAAGCAAACCCCAUGCUGCCCCUCGACUUGCAUGUGUUAAGCCUGUAGCUAGCGUUCAUC
rnacentral:rRNA from 1 species